AAAUAGAAAUAAGAAUUUCUUUUUGUGACAUGGGAUUUUUUUAAGUUAAAAUGUGAAAACUUUUGUCUUUCUUUUCUUUCUUUUUUUUUUUAAUAACAGAAGCCCUUACAACAACUGACUAUUACUCCACCAUAACACCAGCUGGAGAAACUAUUGUAUGCAACGUAACACGUGCCUGUAAUUAUUCAGUGUUCUAUGUGGGCAAGGUAAAACUUCGGGCAAAUGAAGAAAGUAAUGCAUCACUAAAUGUAGAAAUAAUUAAUAACAUAACCACCCACAAUCAAAUCAAAAAAUCAAUUGGAAUUCCAGCACAUAUCCCACAAGAACUGAGGUAAGUAAUUCUGAAUAAGAAUUGAAAUCUUUUUUAUAUUUGAAAAAGAUGAAGUGAGACCUUCCAUGUGUUG
rnacentral:lncRNA from 1 species